CAGUAGCCGCGGGAAUACAGAGGGUGCAAGCGUUAAUCGGAAUUACUGGGCGUAAAGCGCGCGUAGGUGGUUUGUUAAGUUGGAUGUGAAAUCCCCGGGCUCAACCUGGGAACUGCAUCCAAAACUGGCAGGCUAAAGUAGGGCAGAGGGUGGUGGAAUUUCCUGUGUAGCGGUGAAAUGCGUAGAUAUAGGAAGGAACACCAGUGGCGAAGGCGACCACCUGGGCUCAUACUGACACUGAGGUGCGAAAGCGUGGGGAGCAAACAGGAUUAGAGACCCGAGUAGUCCCUGUCUCUUAUAC
rnacentral:rRNA from 1 species